rnacentral:rRNA from 1 species
GACGAACGCUGGCGGCGUGCCUAAUACAUGCAAGUUGAGCGCUGAAGGUUGGUACUUGUACCGACUGGAUGAGCAGCGAACGGGUGAGUAACGCGUGGUGAAUCUGCCUUUGAGCGGGGGACAACAUUUGGAAACGAAUGCUAAUACCGCAUAAAAACUUUAAACACAAGUUUUAAGUUUGAAAGAUGCAAUUGCAUCACUCAAAGAUGAUCCCGCGUUGUAUUAGCUAGUUGGUGAGGUAAAGGCUCACCAAGGCGAUGAUACAUAGCCGACCUGAGAGGGUGAUCGGCCACAUUGGGACUGAGACACGGCCCAAACUCCUACGGGAGGCAGCAGUAGGGAAUCUUCGGCAAUGGACGAAAGUCUGACCGAGCAACGCCGCGUGAGUGAAGAAGGUGUUCGGAUCGUAAAACUCUGUUGGUAGAGAAGAACGUUGGUGAGAGUGGAAAGCGCAUCAAGUGACGGUAACUACCCAGAAAGGGACGGCUAACUACGU